rnacentral:rRNA from 1 species
UACGGAGGGUGCAAGCGUUAUCCGGAUUCACUGGGUUUAAAGGGUGCGUAGGUGGGCAGGUAAGUCAGUGGUGAAAUCUCCGGGCUCAACCCGGAAACUGCCAUUGAUACUAUCAGUCUUGAAUAUCGUGGAGGUAAGCGGAAUAUGCCAUGUAGCGGUGAAAUGCGUAGAUAUCUGGAGGAACACCGGUGGCGAAGGCGGCAUCCUGGACCAAUUCUGACGCUGAGGAGCGAAAGCCAGGGGAGCAAACGGG